UUUAUAGGAACUCCCCAAAAAGUCCCAUGUAACAUUAAUGACCUGAAACUACUGGAUAUCAUGUUUCCUGAUCCCUACAGUGAAUUAAUGAAAUUUGUG